rnacentral:tRNA from 1 species
GGUGGGUUGGCUCAGUGGUUAGAGCGUAGGUCUCGUAACCGAAAGGUUACGGGAUCGAAUACCGCUAGAGGCUG